GGGUUGCCCCGCAAGGGGCAACUGAGUGGCAAACGGGUGAGUAACACGUGGGUGACCUGCCUUCGAGUGGGGGAUAACGUUUCGAAAGGAACGCUAAUACCGCAUGACAUCCUGCCUUUGGACAGGCGGAGAUCAAAGCUGGGGAUCGCAAGACCUGGCGCUUGAAGAGGGGCCCGCGUCCGAUUAGCUAGUUGGUGGGGUAACGGCUCACCAAGGCGACGAUCGGUAUCCGGCCUGAGAGGGCGGACGGACACACUGGGACUGAGACACGGCCCAGACUCCUACGGGAGGCAGCAGUGGGGAAUUGUUCGCAAUGGGCGCAAGCCUGACGACGCAACGCCGCGUGGAGGAUGAAGGUCUUCGGAUUGUAAACUCCUGUUGAUCGGGACGAACAACCAUCGGGAUAACACCCCGGAGGUCUGACGGUACCGAUUGAGGAAGCCCCGGCUAACUCUGUGCCAGCAGCCGCGGUAAUACAGAGGGGGCAAGCGUUGUUCGGAAUUACUGGGCGUAAAGGGCGCGUAGGCGGCCGCCUAAGUCAGACGUGAAAUCCCUCGGCUCAACCGGGGAACUGCGUCUGAUACUGGGUGGCUUGAAUCCGGGAGAGGGAUGCGGAAUUCCAGGUGUAGCGGUGAAAUGCGUAGAUAUCUGGAGGAACACCGGUGGCGAAGGCGGCAUCCUGGACCGGCAUUGACGCUGAGGCGCGAAAGCCAGGGGAGCAAACGGGAUUAGAUACCCCGGUAGUCCUGGCCCUAAACGAUGAGUGCUUGGUGUGGC
rnacentral:rRNA from 1 species